UGAGGAUAAAAAGGCCAUCUCUUUGUCCAUUCAUUCAUAACAAUAUUCUCAACUAAAGCCAUAUUCCAUUUGGAUAGUUCUAAUUGAAGAAGCAUUUAAUUCUCUCAAUAUUCCUUAAGUUUCGUGCACGUUACAUCGUCCCGAUGGUAAAAAAGAAAGAGAAGACAUCUAUCGAAUCUUCACAUUUGAAAUUAACUCGCAACAACCAUUACACCACAAGUUCAACUUCCAAACACCAACUCGUCGACAACAAUUGAUCAUCAAACAAACAAAGCCUUAGAUAUAGAAUCUUCUCUCAUUCAUGCAAAAACCUUCCACUUGUGAUCUUCCUAUUAUAAAUAGACUAGAACUCAACAAACAAAAAACACACAAGCUAAAGUCCAUAUUCAUUUAAGCAAAGAUCAAACUUCACUAUAUUUAUAAACAUCUCCUCCAAUCCUUUUACUCGACAUGUCUAACACCUGCGGAAGUUGUGACUGCUCCGUCGCCAGCCAGGGCAUGAAGAAGGGAAACCAAGUGGUCAUCAUUGAGACUCAAGAGAGGUAUAAUUCAUUAUUUUGUUCAUGUCGUCCCUUAUUUUGUAAUUCGUAUUAAUUUUUCCAAGAUAAACAUGAUUCGAGAAUAGAAGUCUUAAUUUUAUAUAAAAAAAAAAUAUUUGUCGUGUUGGAUUUAAAAACAUAUAUUUGUUCAUCUUUUUUUCUUCUCCAUAUUGGCAGUUACCUCGACACCAUGGUGAUGGAACCCCUAUCAACCGAGAAUGGUGGUUGCAAAUGCGGCCACAGUUGCAAAUGCACCCACUGCAAAUGCGGUCACUAAGACCAAUUUCUGAGUUGCAAUGUGAUGCAUUAGCCUUAUAUAGUGUGUGUUAAAAUAAAUCUUGCAUGUGUGUCCUAGCUAGUUGCUAGUGUUGUUGUCGUGCGAGUUGUUGUGUUUUGUAUUUCUCUAUUUUAUCCUUGUAUAAUAAUCGGUUUGUGACCGUUUUAUAAUUAUGUGAUAUACUUUUAUA